UACGUAGGGUGCGAGCGUUGUCCGGAAUUACUGGGCGUAAAGCGCACGUAGGUGGCUUGAUAAGUUGGGUGUGAAAUCCCCGGGCUUAACCUGGGAAUUGCAUUCAAGACUGUCUUGCUAGAGUGUGGAAGAGGGAAGCGGAAUUCCAGGUGUAGCGGUGAAAUGCGUAGAUAUCUGGAGGAACAUCAGUGGCGAAGGCGGCUUCCUGGUCCAACACUGACACUGAGGUGCGAAAGCGUGGGGAGCAAACAGG
rnacentral:rRNA from 1 species